CCUACGGGUGGCAGCAGUGAGGAAUAUUGGUCAAUGGACGGAAGUCUGAACCAGCCAUGCCGCGUGCAGGAAGACGGCCCUAUGAGUUGUAAACUGCUUUUGUACAAGGGUAAACCUGAAUACGUGUAUUCAGCUGAAAGUACUGUACGAAUAAGGAUCGGCUAACUCCGUGCCAGCAGCCGCGGUAAUACGGAGGAUCCAAGCGUUAUCCGGAUUUAUUGGGUUUAAAGGGUGCGUAGACGGAUUGAUAAGUUAGUGGUGAAAUGUCCGAGCUUAACUCGGGAACUGCCUCUAAUACUGUUGGUCUAGAGAGUAGAUGCGGUAGGCGGAAUGUAUGGUGUAGCGGUGAAAUGCUUAGAGAUCAUACAGAACACCGAUUGCGAAGGCAGCUUACCAAUCUAUAUCUGACAUUGAGGCACGAAAGCGUGGGGAGCAAACAGGAUUAGAUACCCCAGUAGUC
rnacentral:rRNA from 1 species